AAACAGGUUCUACCCAAGAACCACCAACACUUUCAACAAGUAACCCU
rfam:Colius striatus contig46347, whole genome shotgun sequence.